ACAAGAAUUCUAGGGGGUGGAUUGUAACAAGGUAGCAAGAAAGAAGGGCGGGGGAAUGUGAAAGCGAUCUCUAAUCCCAGUACAGAUUGAUAAUAAGCCGCACUUAUUUAAAGGACAGGCGAAGGCGCAGGGCAGCUGGGGUCCUGUUAGCAUUUGCCUGUUGCUCAGCUUGUGGCCGUGUGGGAUCGGGAGUCCCCGUGUAUCUUUCUAUGUAUGAGACGAAUGUGAUAGUUUGAAGCUCAGGACCAUCGUGUAUAUGAUUUUUGCUCUGCUAAGAAUGUGGGUGUUUGAUGUUCUGGACCGUCAUGUGUCUGGUUGGUUUCGCCCUGUUAAGGUAUGUUUAUUUUUUAGUUUUGUUUAUUUGAAUGUGACUAGCACUCAUGAAAUUAUCUAUUUUGUUAUAGGUUGUUGGAUGAUAGUGACUAGUCGCUGUUCUCUUUAGUUUUUUUGUUAUUUACUUUACUUAUAAAACUGACUGCUCCCAGUUAUGAAUGUUUGUUAAUUCCCUAGCCAGCUUGUGUUUUGUUUUCUUUUGAAUCAUUUAGGUUGAGUUAUUUGGUUUGAUUGCUGGCUAGGGGAUUUUAUUAUUUUCUUUUUUCUUCCUUUUUAUAAGUGUAUUUUUUGGGUUUUCCCCUUAUACCCUUUGGUUAUACCUCUCGGGUAGCUUCCCACCAUUUUAUGUGGGUAAUCCGUGGCAGGGAUAUAUAAGAGCCAUAAUGUAUUUGUGCCUCAUGGUGUGGUAUAUUGAUUUGAUUUGAGUGGGUAUCACUAAUGAUUUAUGGUGGCUUUAUCUGGUUAAGGUUGCUGUGGUUUGAAGUGUGCAGUGUAAUUACUCCUCCCUGUGGUAAUCUCUACUAUUCCUUGCCCGUUGAUGUAUACCCGCUGACGGUGGCUACCCUUGUGGGCUGUUUCCGGUCCGGGUGGAUGACCCAAUUUAUUUUAAUACUUUGUUAAAUAAAGUAUAAUGUAUUUUUCUACUAUUUUAUGCUUGCUGUAGUGACUUUUUGUA